rnacentral:lncRNA from 1 species
GGCCUCGCAUCCCCACCCUAGCAGACCUCUCCCUCCCUUCAUUCUCUCCCCUCCACCUUGACGGCAUGUUCUCCACCACGACGGUCGACAUGUCGUCGAGUGACUCCGACAGCAACGCCGUGGCACCGGGCGGCAUCUGGCUGUCCAGCCUGAUCGUCAGCCAGGCCGAGGAUCUAUUCAAGUUAUGCAUGUAUGUGCCGUCGGUGGAAAAGCUGCCGCGGUCGUGGAGUAUCUGUGACAACAGAUUCGCCACUAUCAGCCCACCGGAGACCAACGAGGAACUGUGCCGCCACCCCGGUAGCCGCUACAAC